UAAGGGGGGUUGGGGUGACGACUGGUGCUGAGCUCAGCUGCUGAUGCCAGGAGUGGAGGGCUGAAGGUAAGGGAGCCGAGGAGCCACGCUCGCCGCACAGUCCUGCCCCUGCACACAGAGGAGGAGGGACAGACCGACGGACCGAGGGGGGACACGCAGACCCAUGUGGACAGACCGCCGGCAGAGACUCAGCCCUGGCCUGUUUCCACAGCCUUCAGUCACUGCUGUCCACCAGAGAGGCAGUCUCAUCACGAGCCACACUGAAGCACAGGCAGUCAGACCUCGCCACUGCAGAUCACACUACCCGCAGCCCAUUAGCAGGGGCCAGGGGCAAAUGU